rnacentral:lncRNA from 14 species
CCCGCCGCUGCCCUUCGCCGCCCUGCCCGGCGCCGCGCCGCCGCCGCUGCUCUGCUUCUCGCCCUCCGUGCCCGCCGCGGCCACCGCGGCCGAGCCCUUCCCGCAGACGCAGCGCAAGGUGCUGCUGGACGUGAGCACCGGGCAGUACUACCUGGUGGACACGCCCGUGCAGCAGCCCCUCAAGCGGCGCCUCUUCGACCCCGAGACCGGGCAGUACGUGGAGGUGCCGGUGCCCCAGCAGCCGGCCGUGGCUCCCGUCCCGCUGCCUCUCUCGCCCCUCGCCCUCAAUGCCGGUGCCUACGGCGCCACGUACAUGCUGUACCCCGGGCUCCUGCCCGCCGCCACCGUGCUGCCCGCCGGCGCCCUGCAGCGCCCGCUGUCGCACUCGGGCAGCGACGGCAGCGCCCCCGCAGAGCCCGGCAGCCCCGCCGCGCCUGAGGCGGCUUUCGCCGAGAGCCCCUACUACGUGGCCACCGGCAAGGGCCCGCCGCCGCCGCGGCACGGGCCGGCCGAGGCGAAGCCGGUCAUCAGCAUCACAGCGCCGGCCACCGGCCCGCGGAUCGUCGCGCCGCCCUCCUUCGACGGCACCACUAUGCGCUUCGUGGUGGAGCACCGGUGAAGAGCGCGGGGAUAAGGAAGAAGAAUUAUGCUUCUUUAAUUUGAAAUACACUUGGUAACUCUUCAACAUUAAUCCUAAAAACUGCUUCUACAGUUUUCUCAAUUUUUUUGCUUCAUCAUACAAAACAAGCAUGUAAGUUUCUUGUUUUCUCCUAAAUGCCCCUCUGUUUUGGAGUAUGCCUACAUUUAAUUAUGUGAGCAGCACUAAACUACUGCAUUAGUUUGUGCAAAGUUCUUUUUGUGCUGAAGCUGAUCUGCAGGCUUUAGGCAUUGCCUCUGGUAGCUAAUGGCAGUGAUGCCACUGCAGCUGUUUGUAAAAUGCAGGGUGUAAAUGCAGCAGUGUUUCAGUGUGGAUCACCACAUAUCCUCAUUCAGGUUCCUGGAAUGUGUUGUGAUGAUCCAGUGCAGCCCUGCAGCUCUUCACAAAUGAAAUUAAGCCCUCAGCUCUCUCCUAUUGCCUUAAAUUAGGGUCUUCCUUAUAGGUUUUAGUCACAAUUUGCAAACAGAUGGUUUUUUAUACUCUCUACUUCUCACUUGGAAUUGCAAAGGAAGAGAGCUGUAGUGUUAAAUUUAUCCUUAGUGUUUAUUUUUUGCCAUGGUUCAAAACAAGCUGUGUAAAUGUCAGAAAACACAUUUGAUUGCUUUCAUUUUUUGUUUGCUCUUCUGUACUGUGUUGAAUAUCACAAGUUGCCUUAAUUAGGACAGCGUUUUAAUACUGGGAAACCAAAAAUUGAAUGUAAUAUUUUAAAAUCCUGGUUCUAAAGGAGAGAACAGCACUUAUUUUCCUUUAAGACUGCAGUCUAUUCUUCCUUAAAUUGCAACAUUGUUGAAAACAUAAUCCUAGUCACUGCCCUGUGAGAAUAAUUUUUAAAUGUUACAGCCUCAGUACUAUGCAGUUGUUUCUUUAGCUGUUUGACAGGUUUAUCUGAGGGAUACAAUUACAAUUUGCUGAGAAAAUAUUUACCUUUGGAACAAAAAAUAUACAAUAAGAUUACUGACAGUGCAGUGAUUUAUAUGUCCAACUCUGCUCAAACUGAUUGUUUUUUGUUACCAGCAACUAGUUUGUCUCAGCAAAAGAGAAUUGUUAUUAUUAUGCCAAAUCUAAAAUUCAAUAGUCUGUUCCCUGCCCAAAAUUUUGGCUAAGUGAAGAACUUUGGGAAGCAAAUAAAUGUAAGACCAAACCUAAAUUAUAUAACAUAAAUCUUUCUUGAGGUAACAGAUUAGAAUUCGAAAGUCUAAAUGCAAACCUCAAAAGUCUUUAUUUAAGCAUUUGCCCAAAGGCAGGAUUUUUCUCCACCUGUUCCCAAGGCUUCCUGCAGCUAGAAAAGUUUCAGUGUUUCCCAUUUUAAAAAUAAGCCCUGGGUUUUCAUUUUCCUGAGUAACUCACGAGGUACAGAAAACUCAGGUAGAACUGUUUUUAACCAUAUGUGUGAGAUUGUAUUUCAAUGCAAUUUAUUUGUUUACAGGCCCAAGUUGUAAUUGCCCUUAGGAUGAAAUGCACCACAAGUGUGCAGAUAGUGAGUGAUUUCUCGUGUGCCUUCUCACUCACUUUCAUCAUUGUGGAAAUCCAGUGAAUAUUCUGACCCUUUUUAAAGAGCACAUAUCAUGUAAGGCCAAUCCCUGUGCUCUUCAGCUGUACAAUCUGCAUGACAAGCUUUACCUGCCCCUGGGAUGGGGGCUGACUGCCUCUUAAAGGAGAUGAAUGCUUCUCCCCUUCUCUCAUGACUGAUAGGUUCAUAGGUGUUGUGAUUAGAGUAUCAGUGUUAGGCAGAACAGUACUUGGGACUGCAGGACAGUGCAGGUACCAGAGUGGCUGGUUCCCUGUGACAUACACAUAUGCAGAAUGUUCAGUAUAAUACUAGCAUCCCUGUUCCACAAUGGUCCUGUCCUACCUUUUCCUGUAUCGGUGCUUGGAGAGGAGUUUCCCGUUGCAGUUUACAAGAUAUAGGUUUGCACACACAACCUCAGGUUUACAGUUUCACCCAGUGUACUUGAAAGGAAAAAAAAAAGCAUAGAAAACAACUGCCCAGGAUUUCAACAUGUAUUUGUUGGAGGUAAAUUUUGCAGGGUUUUUUUUUCACUGUCUGUGGAGAUGAAAGCAAUGAAAUGAGGGAAUACCAACAGCUAUUUAUUUUCUCAGGGGAGUUUACUUCAGUGGAAUGUGUCAAUCCUAAUGUCAAAUCGUGUUUACUUGAUUUUGUCUAUUUCUAAAAAGACUUCUUGUUUGCAUCAAGGGGUCAGUUUUGCAAGGUGCUUCUCUAACCCAGCAAAGCCUUCACAUGCAUCUCCAACUUCAGAUACUUAAGCAGAUUCCUGGGGACUUCGGUGGAAGGAUUUUCUCCUUCACCCAUCUAUGCAAAGCUUUGCUGAACUCAUCCCAGAGUGCUGAAUGCCUUGCAGACCUGAGCACCAGGUUCUUCCCUUUACAGAACCCGAUCUCUGGGCUUGAGUCAAGCCGGACCCAGCAGAUAAUGCCACAAAAGCUCACCAGAAAAAAGCUCUGGUAAUAUGGUGCUCCUCCAUGUAUGCCCAGUGGUGAAUUUCUCCAGUGGAUGGGGUGAUGUGUAACCACAUAUCUUGGAUUAGAGUCAAGCCCUCCAUGUCAGGGCUCACAAGCUGCUAGUAUUAUAUGUUUCAUGGUGCAGUCAUAGUAUGUUACAGCUGAAAUUCACCCCAUGUGCAAAGCAGGGCAAAAUGCUGUGCACCACUCAAGUUCCCUCCCAGCCCUGCUGUCAGAGUUUUGAGGGCUGCACCAGCCAACUGUCCAUGCAUUUUAGGUCAGGAUCCAAUUAAAAGUUUGAGCGGGACUGGAGUGAUGCACCAGAAUAUUGUUCUGCUCCUUUGCAACAGGGUUGGUUUCACUCAGUAUCAAAUUUAACCCUUGGUGAAUCAACUGGUGAAUGAUUUGAAAUGUAUUUAUGGGUUGUGUGGGGUGUUUUUCCCCCUUGUCUGUAUUCAAUGCUACCUUUAUUCUUUAGUGUUGAUGGCCAAAGUGUCAUUCCUUAUGCUUAUAUAUUGCCAUUAACUUGUGGCUACCUGAGAACACAUACUUCAAAAAUGCUUGUGCUUUUUUUCACCUAUUUCUUUCUUUUUUAUUUCUUCUUCCCCCCCCCCCUUUCUUUUUCCUCUCAUUUUUAAAGGGGUGAGUUAGUUACUGGUGUAAAGAUAUUUAAAAGUGCAAAUGUGAAGUAAGGAUAAUGAUUGUUUAGAGGAUGUGGGUGGUAUGUCUGAUGAGAGAGGGGUGGGCUGUAAGGCAAAGGGGAAAAGGCCGUGAACGCAUCGUGUUGAUGACUGUUGCCUGUGGAGGAAGAAUUAAGAAACAGAAGAUGUAUAACUGGAGAGAAAUGGACUCUUUGAGCUGCUCUCAGUGGAGACAACACUGUGCCAAGUGUGUAGCUGAAACCCAGUGAUCCCACUGCAGGGUGCUGUGGGCCUGGGAUUGAAGGACGGCAGCGUCACUCUGGGAAUUGCAUGGCGGGAACUUUGGAGCGUCACAGCCACGUGAGAACAGAGCAUCUGAAACUGCCAAGUACCAAAGUUUGUAACUGAAUGAGUUGGCAUUUGUAUUAUGUUGGGGUUUGUUGUUUUUGUUUUUGUUUUUUCUCUUGAAUGUUAUGAUAAAUAAAAUGUAUUUUUCAGUAAAAGACACACCGCA